rnacentral:lncRNA from 1 species
GAGACUGAAUGCAACUAUACUAAUAAAAUAUUGUUUUCCCUUUCCCAGUCCUAAGACCUGAGUACAGUUCUCAGAUCCAGAAUCAGCGGCGUGAGAAAGGAUGAGGCAACACCACAAGUAUAUUAAAAAGUAAUUCCUCCUAUUCUUUCUGAAAAUAACUGACAAUUACGUAGUAAAUAAGGACAUUUGAAGGAAAGGACGUAGCCACACCUUUUGGGGAUUAUUGGAUAUGGAUCUGAAUUGGCAUUGAUAUCUGUGGACCCAAAGCACCACCAUUUUCCUCUUGUUAGAGUGACAUUAUUAAUGAAGUUCUGGAACAUGUCUGGUUCACUAUGGAUCUAAUGGAUCUAUGAACUGUCCAGUGGGCAUGUUCCUGAUUUCUAAAUAUAACCUGAAUAAAGAGACUUGGUAGUUGGCAGAAUCCCAACAUUGAUUUGUUGGUUUGUGUGGUAAGAGGUAUUAUAGUGGGGAAGGCCCAUUGGAAACUUCUUAAACUAUUCAUUUCCCCAGAAAAAAAAAAGAAACAAUAUUAUAUAUUUGAAAAAAAUUGAUUAGUGUCACCUUAAAAUAUUAAAAGAUAACUGGUGUCUUGCCUGCUUUGUGCUGCUAUAACUGCAUAGCUGAGACUGGGUAAUUUAUAAUGAACAGAAAUUGGUUUGGCUCACUGUUCUGAAGGCUGGGCACUCCAAUGGCAUGUUUCUGGCAUCUGGUCAGCCACUGAUGAGAACCUUCUUGCUGGGUCAUCGAUUUAGUCUCAAAGCUGUUAAUUUUCUGAAGGUAAACACCCUCUGGACAUUCCCCAGAUAAUUACUUUGGUCUAUUUUGGUGUUUAUAUCACGUUGAUAGGAGGAUGAACAGGAAGUGGCAACUCACAAGGAGGGCGAAGUAAGAUACACAGGCCUUCUGCCACAGAGCUCAUGACCUUUCUUCUUGUUUUCUCCGUCUAAGGCACACCAACCCUCUUUCUUAUUUGACUGUGUCAUACUGUUGUCUCUGCACAGAACUCUGCUGUCUCUUAACCUAGCCAAUUCCUUCUCACCUUUUUAGUUCCAACUUUCUUGUUUCUUCCAACUACUCACAGUACAAAGGCAACCCCAUUAUGUGCUCUCAUAUAAUUAUAAACUUCUCUUCAUUACCUCUUAUUAUAAAUGUAAUUAUCUAAUUAUGUAACCAUUUGUUUAAUCUAUCUCCACACUGAAAGCUAUAUGCUAUGUGAGAGUGAGCAGGGGUCAUACCUGCUUCACUAUCCCCCGCCCUUUUUCUCAUCAUUCACAAAAGCAGAUCACAGGAUUUUGAACAUAUAAUGAACAUAUAAAGAAAUUAAGAAAUAUUAAUUAAAUAAAUGAAUUAAGGAAAGAAUAAAACAAAGAGAUUAUUUGUUACCUUGGUACAGCUAUGUUUAGUUUUCACUGUUACUGCUGUCAUUUUGAGAUGGAGGGGACUUGAGAGUAUUUUAGACCUUCUAUAUUAUGUUCAGCGAGAGGUCUUUCAAUCUUUCAUCUCCAUAUGUGAUCACUCUCAAGUUUCACUAUUAGUCCCAUAAAAACAAAUUGCAUAAUUACCCAAUCUAUUCAAGCCAUAAUCUUGGAGAUGUCUCUUUUUCUCCCAAAACAUAAAAUCUAAUAUAUUAGAAUUUCUUGCUGAGUCUACAUCAAAAACAUGUCUCCAUGUAUUCGCAUUGCUCCAUCUUCAUAGCCUCCACCUUGGUCGAAGUUAUUAUCAUCUCUUCUUAAUUGUAGUAAAUAUUUCUUAAUUGGUUCCUCUACUUUCCUUCUUCUUAUACCCAAUGCAUUAUCCCCUUGGCAAUCAGCAAAAUAUGUAUGUCUUCUUGCAAGGCUCAUACCUAAAACAAAAACUGUAAUGUCUUACCUUAGCAUUUAGAAUAAAAUACCCAUCCUUUAUUAUGACAUCACACAUGCUUUUCCCAGUCCCACAUGAUUAUAUGAUCUUACAAAUAUUCUAUCAGUUAUCUUUAAUCCACAGUAAAGUAAAAUACACUUUAUGUUUCCCUUUUAUUUUAUAAUAUAAAUGAUAUCAUUAACAACCUACUAAAGUUGCUAUUUGCACUAACUUAGUAAAGCGCAUCAUAAUGGCAACUAAUGAAGAUUGAAUGCUUACAGUAAGUGAGGUACGGUAAUAACAGUUUCACAUACAUAAAAAUACAUAAUACAUAGUUCCUUUUUUAUCUUUAAGAUUUACAACUGAGGAUAUUAAGGCUUAAAGUACGUUAUUAAUUUGCCCAAGGUCAUGGAGCUAGUAAAUGGCUGAGCCAAAUUUCAGUUUAGAGUGUUCAAUUAAAAAAUAUGCCCUUAAAUGCUGUAAUAUGAUUAUCUUCGCUUUAUGCUCUUUUAUCUAAUCUCCCAUGUAAUACAUUGCACACAUUUGCAGGAGAGUUUAUAUGAUUUGAGAGUAUAAUAAGUGGCCACAAAACAGAAUGCUUCUCUGUGCGUGGCUAACUGAUCUAUUCAGAAAUAAAAAAUGUAACAUCCUCUAUUCACCUGAGUUUACUGGUCUUGACUGCAGGAACAGAUGGCACGCCAGGGACUAUGCAAUAGCACAUAAACAUUCUGGAAUGGAGUAAAUGAGAACAUAUGACUAAAAGCAACAUUGCCACAGCUUUAGAACCAACUCUACGUUUUUCCUUCUCUUUCAGCAAUUUAUUUGCUAAGUGAUUAUAUUAUGCAUGAUAUUUACAGACACAUUUGGCAUAUUUUGACCAUAAUCAUCAUCAUGAAAGAAUGCAUGCUUAGAUCAACUGAAUUAUUAAUAUAUCAAACUAUUACUAAUAUUACCAUUACAAAUAAUAUUACAUUAAGAAUUUCAUAAACAUGGCAAAUGUAUUUCAACAAUAUUAUUGUGUUUGGUACUUAAAAAGAUUUGAAACAGCUCUUGUAAUUAUGAUUAAGUCAAUUAUCCCCCAAUUAUUUGAUAAAUUUAAUGUUAUUACAAUCAAGUUCUCAGGGCAUUCUUUUUCUUGUAACAAUUUGGUAUAUCAAUAUUUAGUUUCAUCUAAAGAAUAAAGAAGUAGGGGAUUUCCCUACUACAUAUAAAAUAUAUUAAAAUCAUAGUAAUAAAAUGUAUGGUACUAGUAUUU